rfam:Hymenobacter sp. CCM 8682 NODE_5_length_175907_cov_273.636_ID_9, whole genome shotgun sequence.
GUGAUGGGUCGCCCCACCGCGGCGUGGAACGCAAGAACCGCGACGAGGAAAGUCCGGGCAACGCAGAGCACCCUGCUUCCUAACGGGAAGGACUGGCAAGCGUAAUGCGAACCAGGACAGCCAGUGCCACAGAAAAUACCGCCUACGUUGCCUUCGGGCAGCCGGUAAGGGUGAAAAGGUGCGGUAAGAGCGCACCAGCGGCUGGGUGACCAGUCCGGCUGGGUAAACCUCAGGGGUUGAAAGACCAAAUAAGCCAGUACGUCGGCCCCGCUUCCAGGGGACGGCACCGGGCGGCUCGUCCGGCGCUGGCGGGUAGGUUGAUGGAGCCUUUCGGCAACGACUGGCCUAGAUAAAUGGUGGGGCCGCCUGCUCUCGGGCAGGCGGACAAAACCCGGCUUACAGACCCAUCACCCCC